ACAAUGAAAUGUUAGUUAAAUGUAUUAGUUGAUACACUGUGUGAUGAGUGGUAGUGGUGCAGGAUGGAAACUCAUAUUUGGAAAUGGAACUCAGCUGACCAUAAAGCCAAGACAUUACUCCAAACCUUCUGCCUAUAUUUUGAAAUCAAACAAGGAUGGGAAGGCAAAAGCUUGUCUUGUGGAUACCUUCAGUAGUAGUAACCUUACAGUAGAACUGUCUGGUGAGAAGGCUGAAAUAGAUCCUUCUAUUGUGGACACAGAAACACUGUUCAGUGCAGUGGCUAUUCCUAAAGAAUCAAAGGAUAGUCUAAAUUGCACAGUUAAAGGCAAUACUGAAUCCGACGUCAUUGCAGCUGUUGAUGAAGAAAUUAAUAUAUGCAACGGUGACAUUAAUACAGAUGAAAAUCUUAAUACCUUGACUUUGGCUGUUUUGGCUUUAAGAAUUAUUUUUAUUAAGAGCAUCGUGUUCAAUGUCCUCAUGACAGCACGAGCAUGGAUGAGCUAGGAUCACUUGUUUUUUUUAACAAUGUCAAGUAGAAAUACUCAACUGAAAAGAAGAAUCUUUAGCCUGCAUUAUUACAGACAUAUUUCAAUAGGACUGAUUUAAUCAAAGUAUAUCUGGGCAUUGUUUAUUGUUAUUGCUUUUGUUAUCUAUAUUCAUGUUUUUCAACAAAUGUAUGCACAUGUUCAGAUUUAAUUUGUGUUAUCAUUCCUUUCUGGAAAUACAUUAAAAUACUUUGCUGUACUCUUGGAUUUAUGAAAACAUUUUAUUUUGGUGCAAGGUUAUUUAGCAGAGCUCUUUAUUGAAAAUGUUAUCCUGUUCUCUUUUCUUGAUAUGUAAUCUUUCUCUAAGUAGUUCUGAAAUGUGCUAGUUGUAAAUAUAUAUCUCUAUAUAUUCAUUAUUAGAAUAAAGAUGCACAUACUUACCUGAAUAA